rnacentral:lncRNA from 1 species
AAGAGAAAACAGAGAUGUUAAAGAAGUUGCCAAGAUCACACAGCUCCUAAAUGGUGGAGCCACGAUUCAAAUUCAAGUCUGUAGGAUUUCAAAGCCUUUAUUCCUAAAGGAUCUCAUCAACCUCAACUAGCUGUCAUAACAGAGCCAAAAAGCACUACCUGAAGCUCAGCAUCUCAGAGACCAAAAUGUAUCAGGAUUCAAUGCUUCUCACUUUACAGAGGAGGAAAAUGAUGCUCCCUGACUUCCCCAAGGCCACACCACCAGUGAAUGACAAACAGAGGAUGGCACAGAGUAACUGCCCCUCAUUUUCCAACGGAGCCAUGGGAGAAAAGGAGGGACCUCGAAGUGAUGGAGAGAUGACGCAGGCACUCCAUAAGCAACGGGGUAUUUCCCGAGCCCAGCUGUUUGCCCUUGAAAACUGAACAAGAGAACGAACCGCAGAACUGUAGUUACCACAUUGAGAAGUAGGUUUGACUCUGGAAGGAACUUCUAGAGUUUAAGACAACAUCCCCGUGUACUUGUACAACACUUUCUGAUUCACA